AAAAAAGGUAAGCUACUAAGAGCGAAUGGUGGAUGCCUUGACUGGUAAAGGCGAUGAAGGACGUACUAGACUGCGAUAAGCUACGGGGAGCUGUCAAGAAGCUUUGAUCCGUAGAUUUCCGAAUGGGGCAACCCAAUGUAUAGAGAUAUACAUUACCUAUAUAGGAGCGAACGAGGGGAAUUGAAACAUCUUAGUACCCUCAGGAAAAGAAAUCAAUAGAGAUUGCGUCAGUAGCGGCGAGCGAAAGCGUAAGAGGGCAAACCCAGUGCUUGCACUGGGGGUUGUAGGACUGCAAUGUGCAAGAGGUGAGUUUAGCAGAACAUUCUGGAAAGUAUAGCCAUAGAGGGUGAUAGUCCCGUAUGCGAAAAACAAACCUUAGCUAGCAGUAUCCUGAGUAGGGCGGGACACGAGAAAUCCUGUCUGAAGCUGGGUCGACCACGAUCCAACCCUAAAUACUAAUACCAGAUCGAUAGUGCACAAGUACCGUGAGGGAAAGGUGAAAAGAACUGAGGUGAUCAGAGUGAAAUAGAACCUGAAACCAUUUGCUUACAAUCAUUCAGAGCCCUAUGUAGCAAUACAGGGUGAUGGACUGCCUUUUGCAUAAUGAGCCUGCGAGUUGUGGUGUCUGGCAAGGUUAAGCAAACGCGAAGCCGUAGCGAAAGCGAGUCUGAAUAGGGCGCUUAGUCAGAUGCUGCAGACCCGAAACGAAGUGAUCUAUCCAUGAGCAAGUUGAAGCUAGUGUAAGAACUAGUGGAGGACUGAACCCAUAGGCGUUGAAAAGCCCCGGGAUGACUUGUGGAUAGGGGUGAAAGGCCAAUCAAACUUCGUGAUAGCUGGUUCUCUCCGAAAUAUAUUUAGGUAUAGCGUUGUGUCGUAAUAUAAGGGGGUAGAGCACUGAAUGGGCUAGGGCAUACACCAAUGUACCAAACCCUAUCAAACUCCGAAUACCUUAUAUGUAAUCACAGCAGUCAGGCGGCGAGUGAUAAAAUCCGUCGUCAAGAGGGAAACAACCCAGACUACCAGCUAAGGUCCCUAAAUCUUACUUAAGUGGAAAACGAUGUGAAGUUACUUAAACAACCAGGAGGUUGGCUUAGAAGCAGCCAUCCUUUAAAGAAAGCGUAAUAGCUCACUGGUCUAGUGAUUUUGCGCGGAAAAUAUAACGGGGCUAAAGUAAGUACCGAAGCUGUAGACUUGAUUUUAUCAAGUGG
rnacentral:rRNA from 1 species